UUUAUUUUUAUUUUUUUUCCUAUUAUUGGUUGUGUACAAGAAUUCUCAUCAGCGUUUUGUUUUUGUGGACACCAGUAUCAUUUUGCUACCAGUGUUCAGCCAGUGCAGAUGGCGAAGUAUCCUCCUUGAAGAGUUGCCAAGACGUGGAUGGCAUUGCGAGUCUGGAGGUUUUCACAUUGGGGAGCACAGAAAACUCUCUGAGACUGUGGCCUAAGUGCACCAGCAACCUCCUAGACAGUAACUUUACAGCUGGCACUGGAGCCUGUUCUCAAGGUAGAAUGGUGCCCUGGAAGUUACGCCUGGACAGAGGUGGUGCAUCCUGCUCAGCCAUUUGCAGACUCAGCUCCUGACCGCGAAGCCUCCACCAACUUGGCACACCUCUCAGAACAGAGUCCGAGAGCCCCGUUCACCAGCCGCAGGGACAAAACGGUCGCCCCGUCUCAAAGAGCCCGCAGCUCCGAAGGAAGGGAUGGCGGCGGGCGCAGGUCAGUUCCCGACAGCCUCCUGUUGCGUGUUA
rnacentral:lncRNA from 1 species